rnacentral:rRNA from 1 species
UGGGGAAUUUUGCGCAAUGGGCGAGAGCCUGACGCAGCAACGCCGCGUGGGUGAUGAAGGUCUUCGGAUUGUAAAACCCUGUCGUCGGGGACGAAGACUGGGAGGUGAAUAGCCUUUCCGUUUGACGGUACCCGGAGAGGAAGCCCCGGCUAACUACGUGCCAGCAGCCGCGGUAAUACAGAGGGGGCAAGCGUUAUUCGGAAUUAUUGGGCGUAAAGGGCGCGGAGGCGGUGAUUUAAGUGAGGUGUGUAAUCCCCGGGCUUAACCUGGGAACUGCAUCUCAGACUGGGUCGCUAGAGUACUGCAGAGGGUGGUAGAAUUCCACGUGUAGCGGUGAAAUGCGUAGAGAUGUGGAGGAAUACCAGUGGCGAAGGCGGCCACCUGGACAGUAACUGACGCUGAGGCGCGAAAGUGUGGGUAGCAAACA